rnacentral:rRNA from 1 species
CCAAUAGCGUAUAUUAAAGUUGUUGCAGUUAAAAAGCUCGUAGUUGAAUUUCGGGAUCAGUAUGUUGGUCGUGCUUCGGUACGUACUGUCAUUACUGGUUUCUACCUUCUGAAGAACCUUGAUGUCAUUAAUUUGGUGUCUUGGGAAAUCAGGACUGUUACUUUGAAAAAAUUAGAGUGUUUAAAGCAAGCAUACGCUUGAAUACAUUAGCAUGGAAUAAUGAAAUAGGACGUUUGAUUCUAUUUUGUUGGUUUCUAGGAUCGACGUAAUGAUUAAUAGGGAUAGUUGGGGGCAUUAGUAUUCAAUUGUCAGAGGUGAAAUUCUUGGAUUUAUUGAAGACUAACUACUGCGAAAGCAUUUGCCAAGGAUGUUUUCAUUAAUCAAGAACGAAAGUUAGGGGAUCGAAGACGAUCAGAUACCGUCGUAGUCUUAACCAUAAACUAUGCCGACUAGGGAUCGGAUAAUGUUAUUUUUAAUGACUCAUUCGGCGCCUUACA